AUGUGGUACUCCAACACGGCUGAAAAGACGGUCGUCUGGAGCGCGAACCAUCUCCACCCAGUGUACUUCCGGGGAUCCCGAGUCACGCUAGAUGCGGAUGGCCGACUGGCCGUAGAAGACUACGAUGGCCUGCCGGUCUGGGCGAACAGUGUGACGUCUUCUUCGAAUGCCAAGCAAGCUCAGUUGUUGGACACGGGGAACCUCGUCGUCAAGGGCCAAGGUGAUAACAUUGUUUGGCAAAGCUUCCAUUCUCCUACCGACACAUUGCUGCCAUAUCAGAACAUUACUAGUGCUACAAAGUUGGUAUCUUCUAGUAGGCUACUUGUCCCUGGGCACUACAGCUUCCGUUUUGAUGAUGAACAUAUACUCACACUGUUUGACGAUGAGAAGGAUAUCUCUUUUAAAUAUUGGCCAGAUCCUAGUAAUGAUAUAUGGACAAAGAACAGACGUGCUUUUAAUACCACCACAAUUGGGGUCCUUGAUAGUUCGGGGUAUUUUCUUGGAAGUGACAAUUUAAAUUUUAAGGCUGUUGACUGGGGUCAGGGGGUUACGAGGAGAUUAACACUGGAUUAUGAUGGCAACCUUAGAUUAUACAGUCUAAAUAAGACAGAUGGAAGAUGGUUGGUCACAUGGAUGGCAUAUCCUCAGACCUGCUCGGUACGCGGUCUUUGUGGCAUUAAUGGAAUAUGUGUGUACACACCCAAGCCUGCUUGUGCAUGUGCCCCUGGACAUGAGGUCAUCAACCCAAGUGACCGGAGCCAAGGUUGCAGACCAACAUUCAAUCUUAGUUGUGAUGGGCAGGAGAUAUUUUUGAAGCUACCCACCGCUGACUUCCACGGUAAUGAUCUAAGUGAGCAUGUUAGAGUUUCACGUUAUGAGUGCAAGAAGAUAUGCUCGAAGGACUGCAAUUGCAAAGGUUUUGCAUACUGGCAAGGAACCGGGCGUUGCUAUCCAAAGUGGUCCCUUGUUGGGGGUGUAACCGGGUCGGCUGUUAGUGGUGGUUCUAUCUAUCUCAAGAUUCCUAAGACACUACGGGUCAGAGAGUCAUCAAUUCCUCACUCGCAACCUUUUGGUCCUAGAUAUGUUCCUAAUUGUAGUGCAAAGAGCGACAACUUCACUCCAGAUUUUGGGGAUCAACCUUAG
rnacentral:rRNA from 1 species